rnacentral:misc_RNA from 1 species
AACGCAUAUUGCGCCCUUUGGUAUUCCGAAGGGCAUGCCUGUUCGAGCGUCAUUAUCACCGUGUCAAGCUUGGCUUGUUGUUGGGCCCUGUCACCCAGUGACAGGUCCAAAAGAUAAUGACCGGUGUCCUACCGACGCUAGAUGCAACGAGCUUAUCACAGCACGCAUCUGGCAGUUGUGUGGCCCGGUCCUCACCCCUUUAUUUCUCAAGGUUGACCUCGGAUCAGGUAGGAAUACCCGCUGAACUUAA